rnacentral:rRNA from 1 species
GGACUACUGGGGUAUCUAAUCCCGUUCGCUCCCCCAGCUUUCGCGCCACAGCGUCAGUCGCAGGCCAGGGAGCCGCCUUCGCCACUGGUGUUCCUCCGGGUAUCUACGCAUUUCACCGCUACUCCCGGAGUUCCACUCCCCUCUCCUGCACUCAGAGCACAGCCGUUACCGGUGACCCUCCCCGGUUGGGCCGGGGGCUUUCACACCGGUCGUGCUGCGCCGCCUACGCGCUCUUUACGCCCAGUAAUUCCGGACAACGCUCGCCUCCUACGUAUUACCGCGGCUGCUGGCAC